GACAGAGGGUGCAAACGUUGUUCGGAAUUACUGGGCGUAAAGGGCGCGUAGGCGGCCUGUUAAGUCGAACGUGAAAUCCCCGGGCUCAACCCGGGAACUGCGUCCGAUACUGGCAGGCUUGAAUCCGGGAGAGGGAUGUGGAAUUCCAGGUGUAGCGGUGAAAUGCGUAGAUAUCUGGAGGAACACCGGUGGCGAAGGCGACAUCCUGGACCGGUAUUGACGCUGAGGCGCGAAAGCCAGGGGAGCAAACGGG
rnacentral:rRNA from 1 species